ACUAAGCGUACACGGUGGAUGCCCUGGCAGUCAGAGGCGAUGAAGGACGUGCUAAUCUGCGAAAAGCGUCGGUAAGGUGAUAUGAACCGUUACAGCCGGCGAUGUCCGAAUGGGGAAACCCAGUGUGAUUCGUCACACUAUCGUUAACUGAAUACAUAGGUUAACGAGGCGAACCGGGGGAACUGAAACAUCUAAGUACCCCGAGGAAAAGAAAUCAACCGAGAUUCCCCCAGUAGCGGCGAGCGAACGGGGAGCAGCCCAGAGUCUGAAUCAGCUUGUGUGUUAGUGGAACGGUCUGGAAAGUCCGACGGUACAGGGUGAUAGUCCCGUACACCAAAAUGCACAGGCUGUGAACUCGAAGAGUAGGGCGGGACACGUGGUAUCCUGUCUGAAUAUGGGGGGACCAUCCUCCAAGGCUAAAUACUCCUGACUGACCGAUAGUGAACCAGUACCGUGAGGGAAAGGCGAAAAGAACCCCGGCGAGGGGAGUGAAAAAGAACCUGAAACCGUGUACGUACAAGCAGUGGGAGCACCUUCGGGUGUGACUGCGUACCUUUUGUAUAAUGGGUCAGCGACUUAUAUUCUGUAGCAAGGUUAACCGUAUAGGGGAGCCGCAGGGAAACCGAGUCUUAACUGGGCGUUAAGUUGCAGGGUAUAGACCCGAAACCCGGUGAUCUAGCCAUGGGCAGGUUGAAGGUUGGGUAACACUAACUGGAGGACCGAACCGACUAAUGUUGAAAAAUUAGCGGAUGACUUGUGGCUGGGGGUGAAAGGCCAAUCAAACCGGGAGAUAGCUGGUUCUCCCCGAAAGCUAUUUAGGUAGCGCCUCGUGAACUCAUCUUCGGGGGUAGAGCACUGUUUCGGCUAGGGGGUCAUCCCGACUUACCAACCCGAUGCAAACUACGAAUACCGAAGAAUGUUAUCACGGGAGACACACGGCGGGUGCUAACGUCCGUCGUGAAGAGGGAAACAACCCAGACCGCCAGCUAAGGUCCCAAAGUCAUGGUUAAGUGGGAAACGAUGUGGGAAGGCACAGACAGCCAGGAUGUUGGCUUAGAAGCAGCCAUCAUUUAAAGAAAGCGUAAUAGCUCACUGGUCGAGUCGGCCUGCGCGGAAGAUGUAACGGGGCUAAACCAUGCACCGAAGCUGCGGCAGCGACACUAUGUGUUGUUGGGUAGGGGAGCGUUCUGUAAGCCUGCGAAGGUGACCUGUGAGGGUUGCUGGAGGUAUCAGAAGUGCGAAUGCUGACAUAAGUAACGAUAAAGCGGGUGAAAAGCCCGCUCGCCGGAAGACCAAGGGUUCCUGUCCAACGUUAAUCGGGGCAGGGUGAGUCGACCCCUAAGGCGAGGCCGAAAGGCGUAGUCGAUGGGAAACAGGUUAAUAUUCCUGUACUUGGUGUUACUGCGAAGGGGGGACGGAGAAGGCUAUGUUAGCCGGGCGACGGUUGUCCCGGUUUAAGCAUGUAGGCUGGUUGUCCAGGCAAAUCCGGAUAAUCAAGGCUGAGGUGUGAUGACGAGGCACUACGGUGCUGAAGUAACAAAUGCCCUGCUUCCAGGAAAAGCCUCUAAGCAUCAGGUAACAUUAAAUCGUACCCCAAACCGACACAGGUGGUCAGGUAGAGAAUACCAAGGCGCUUGAGAGAACUCGGGUGAAGGAACUAGGCAAAAUGGUGCCGUAACUUCGGGAGAAGGCACGCUGGUGUGUAGGUGAAGUCCCUGCGGAUGGAGCUGAGACCAGUCGAAGAUACCAGCUGGCUGCAACUGUUUAUUAAAAACACAGCACUGUGCAAACACGAAAGUGGACGUAUACGGUGUGACGCCUGCCCGGUGCCGGAAGGUUAAUUGAUGGGGUUAUCCGUAAGGAGAAGCUCUUGAUCGAAGCCCCGGUAAACGGCGGCCGUAACUAUAACGGUCCUAAGGUAGCGAAAUUCCUUGUCGGGUAAGUUCCGACCUGCACGAAUGGCGUAAUGAUGGCCAGGCUGUCUCCACCCGAGACUCAGUGAAAUUGAACUCGCUGUGAAGAUGCAGUGUACCCGCGGCAAGACGGAAAGACCCCGUGAACCUUUACUAUAGCUUGACACUGAACAUUGAGCCUUGAUGUGUAGGAUAGGUGGGAGGCUUUGAAGCGUGGACGCCAGUCUGCGUGGAGCCAACCUUGAAAUACCACCCUUUAAUGUUUGAUGUUCUAACGUUGGCCCCUGACCGGGGUUGCGGACAGUGUCUGGUGGGUAGUUUGACUGGGGCGGUCUCCUCCCAAAGCGUAACGGAGGAGCACGAAGGUUAGCUAAUCCUGGUCGGACAUCAGGAGGUUAGUGCAAUGGCAUAAGCUAGCUUGACUGCGAGCGUGACGGCGCGAGCAGGUGCGAAAGCAGGUCAUAGUGAUCCGGUGGUUCUGAAUGGAAGGGCCAUCGCUCAACGGAUAAAAGGUACUCCGGGGAUAACAGGCUGAUACCGCCCAAGAGUUCAUAUCGACGGCGGUGUUUGGCACCUCGAUGUCGGCUCAUCACAUCCUGGGGCUGAAGUAGGUCCCAAGGGUAUGGCUGUUCGCCAUUUAAAGUGGUACGCGAGCUGGGUUUAGAACGUCGUGAGACAGUUCGGUCCCUAUCUGCCGUGGGCGCUGGAGAAUUGAGGGGGGCUGCUCCUAGUACGAGAGGACCGGAGUGGACGCAUCACUGGUGUUCGGGUUGUCAUGCCAAUGGCACUGCCCGGUAGCUAAAUGCGGAAGAGAUAAGUGCUGAAAGCAUCUAAGCACGAAACUUGCCCCGAGAUGAGUUCUCCCUGAGACUUUAAGUCUCCUGAAGGAACGUUAAAGACGAUGACGUUGAUAGGCCGGGUGUGUAAGCGCAGCGAUGCGUUGAGCUAACCGGUACUAAUGAACCGUGAGGCUUAACC
rnacentral:rRNA from 1 species